GAUGAACGCUAGCGGCAGGCUUAACACAUGCAAGUCGAGGGGCAACACGGGUAGCAAUACCUGGUGGCGACCGGCGCAAGGGUGCGUAACGCGUGAGCAACAUGCCCUAUACAGGGGGAUAAUCCAGGGAAACUUGGUCUAAUAUCCCAUAGUAUUUAGAGGUGGCAUCACCACUAAAUUAAAGCUUCGGUGGUAUAGGAUUGGCUCGCGUGACAUUAGCUUGAUGGUGGGGUAACGGCUCACCAUGGCGAUGAUGUCUAGGGGUUCUGAGAGGAAGACCCCCCACACUGGGACUGAGACACGGCCCAGACUCCUACGGGAGGCAGCAGUGAGGAAUAUUGGACAAUGGGAUGGAAAUCUGAUCCAGCCAUGCCGCGUGCAGGAAGACGGCCCUAUGGGUUGUAAACUGCUUUUAUAUGGGAGCAAUAAGGUUUACGCGUAGACCGAUGAGAGUACCAUAUGAAUAAGCAUCGGCUAACUCCGUG
rnacentral:rRNA from 1 species